rnacentral:rRNA from 1 species
CAGCAGCCGCGGUAAUACGGAGGAUCCAAGCGUUAUCCGGAAUCAUUGGGUUUAAAGGGUCCGUAGGCGGUCUUGUAAGUCAGUGGUGAAAGCCCAUCGCUCAACGGUGGAACGGCCAUUGAUACUGCAGGACUUGAAUUAUUGGGAAGUAACUAGAAUAUGUAGUGUAGCGGUGAAAUGCUUAGAGAUUACAUGGAAUACCAAUUGCGAAGGCAGGUUACUACCAAUUGAUUGACGCUGAGGUACGAAAGCAUGGGGAGCAAACAGGAUUAGAUACCCCAGUAGUCCCUGUCUCUUAUAC